AAUGUAUUAAUGAAAAUAAAAGGAUUUGUUCUGUAAAAUUUGGGUUCAGUCAAAAGGCCACACUUAAGGACCUGGAAGGUAACUUGUGGCCUUAAGGCCAUGUUCCCCUGAAAUAGCCUCUGUUGCUGCCCUGACAGGAAGCAAAAGUGUUUUUUGUUUUUUUUUAAAGAGUGAUUAAACAAAGCAGUUUACCCAGCAGUUGCCUGGAGACGGGGAGUGAUCGGAUACUUGGAAAGGGUCCGCUGUUGGCCCUCAGAAAAUAGAGAAAAGUUGCCCGUGGAGCUGAAUGUUGUCAUCAGCCAACAGAAUUGGGUGCUGCCUGUUUCCUGAGGGACCUUGCGCGAUGUCAUAGACAGGAGGGGUUUGUGACAACUAGAACUGAUUCAUCGUGUUGCAGGAGCCGACAGAAUGUGAUGAUGUAAAGUGAUAAAGUGGCUCGUUCAGUGCCAGAUUAAAAAAAAUAACAACAGCUAACACA